AAGACUGAAGUCUCAAUUUUUGCUUGUUGACACAAAAUUAUACAAAGUUCUAUACCUCAGAGGAGGAACUUGAAGAACAGUAAAGGUUUGUCAGAGAAAAAUAUCGCUCAUGAUAAUAUUCACCAAAACAAAUGGCUAAUUUUGAAGUUGAACGGCAAAAGCAGAGUAACUGGAAAGAUCGAGUCACUAAUUCCAUAGCACAUAAAUAACACUGGCCGAUUUACUUAGAAAAACGAAUAAUUCGUGUCAGACAUAUAAUGCUUCUAAUACCACUGCACUUAGGAAAAUACCAGACGCCGAACUGCCUCUUGUAUUGACAAACAAAGCUAUCACGAGGGACUGGAGACUGCUUAUGACUUCAUUACAAAUGGAAAACAAGACCCCCAAAGUUCCUCUUUUCUAAGCAGAUGUGCAUACCGAAUUAUCAACACCCGCGACAGCCCUCUCUCUAAACGAAAUUUCAAACAACUCAAGAACAACUACACUUCAAUAUUGCUGCGGUUAAUCAAGGCUACAGAAAUCAUCUACUGGAAAAUACCAGACGCCGAACUGCCUCUUGUAUUGACAAACAAAGCUAUCACGAGAGAGACUGCUUAUGACUUCAUUACAAAUGGAAAACAAGACCCCAAAGUUCCUCUUUUCAAAGCAGAUGUGCAUACCGAAUUAUCAACACCCGCGACAGCCCUCUCUCUAAACGAAAUUUCAAACAACUCAAGAACAACUACACUUCAACAUUGCUGCGGUUAAUCAAGGCUACAGAAAUCAUCUACUGACGAACACCACCGACAAAGGAUGCAGGGAAACGAAAGUGACGACAACUUGCUGGGCAUAAUAAAACGUGGUAAAUUUGAGGAAAUUGAGAGUGAAAUCAAGCCAACGGCCUUCAAAUAUUGUGAAUCCAAUUCCUUGCUAAUGGCUAUGAAGGUAAACUUUGAACUUCGUAGGCGGGCAAACCAGAAGGGACCCGAUGAAAAAAGGUUUCAUCAGUUGGCAAACUCUGUAGAGAGUUUCGCGGCCUGUUUGCUUGAUCCACUGCGAUAUGAUCAAGACAGGCGUGAAAAAUUUGGUGAUGGAUUGGAUGAGAUAUUGAAAGACGCCAUUCAGCUAAAUCAGAAAAAGGUAGGUGGAAUGAAGAAUAGAACGGCUCAACUUACAUACCCUCUUUCUUUUUUGUAUAAGAAUAUAUUUUAUAAGAAUAUCGA